rnacentral:rRNA from 1 species
UACGUAGGGUGCAAGCGUUGUCCGGAAUUAUUGGGCGUAAAGAGCUCGUAGGCGGUCAGUCGCGUCUGCUGUGAAAACUCGGGGCUUAACUCCGGGCCUGCAGUGGGUACGGGCUGACUAGAGUGCGGUAGGGGAGACUGGAAUUCCUGGUGUAGCGGUGAAAUGCGUAGAGAUGCGGAGGAACACCGAUGGCGAAGGCAGCCCCCUGGGCUGACACUGACGCUCAGGCACGAAAGCGUGGGGAGCAAACAGG